AUUGAACGCUGGCGGCAGGCCUAACACAUGCAAGUCGAGCGGAUGAAGGGAGCUUGCUCCUGGAUUCAGCGGCGGACGGGUGAGUAAUGCCUAGGAAUCUGCCUGGUAGUGGGGGAUAACGUCCGGAAACGGGCGCUAAUACCGCAUACGUCCUGAGGGAAAAAGUGGGGGAUCUUCGGACCUCACGCUAUCAGAUGAGCCUAGGUCGGAUUGGCUAGUUGGUGGGGUAAAGGCCUACCAAGGCGACGAUCCGUAACUGGUCUGAGAGGAUGAUCAGUCACACUGGAACUGAGACACGGUCCAGACUCCUACGGGAGGCAGCAGUGGGGAAUAUUGGACAAUGGGCGAAAGCCUGAUCCAGCCAUGCCGCGUGUGUGAAGAAGGUCUUCGGAUUGUAAAGCACUUUAAGUUGGGAGGAAGGGCAGUAAGUUAAUACCUUGCUGUUUUGACGUUACCAACAGAAUAAGCACCGGCUAACUUCGUG
rnacentral:rRNA from 1 species